UUUAUUCUUCGGAAUAGAGAGAGCGGCGUACGGGUGCGUAACACGUGUGCAACCUGCCUUUAUCUGGGAGAUAGCCCUCCGAAAGGGGGAUUAAUAUUCCAUAAUAUCUCGUUGGGCAUCCAACGAGAUUGAAAGCUCCGGCGGAUAGAGAUGGGCACGCGCAAGAUUAGAUAGUUGGUGAGGUAACGGCUCACCAAGUCUGCGAUCUUUAGGGGGCCUGAGAGGGUGAUCCCCCACACUGGUACUGAGACACGGACCAGACUCCUACGGGAGGCAGCAGUGAGGAAUAUUGGACAAUGGGUGCAAGCCUGAUCCAGCCAUCCCGCGUGAAGGAUUAAGGUCCUAUGGAUUGUAAACUUCUUUUAUACAGGGAUAAACCUCUCCUCGUGAGGAGAGCUGAAGGUACUGUAUGAAUAAGCACCGGCUAACUCCGUGCCAGCAGCCGCGGUAAUA
rnacentral:rRNA from 1 species